rnacentral:rRNA from 1 species
ACGGGAGGCAGCAGUGGGGAAUCUUGCGCAAUGGGCGAAAGCCUGACGCAGCGACGCCGCGUGAGGGAAGAAGGCCUUCGGGUUGUAAACCUCUUUCAGGAGGGACGAAGCUACUCGGGUGAAUAGCCCAGAGGGUGACGGUACCUCCAGAAGAAGCCCCGGCUAACUACGUGCCAGCAGCCGCGGUAAUACGUAGGGGGCAAGCGUUGUCCGGAUUUACUGGGCGUAAAGCGCGUGUAGGCGGCCGCACAGGUCCGUUGUGAAAACUGGAGGCUUAACCUCCAGACGUCGACGGAAACCGUGUGGCUAGAGUCCGGAAGAGGAGAGUGGAAUUCCUGGUGUAGCGGUGAAAUGCGCAGAUAUCAGGAAGAACACCAAUGGCGAAGGCAGCUCUCUGGGACGGUACUGACGCUGAGACGCGAAAGCGUGGGGAGCGAACAGGAUUAGAUACCCUGGUA